UGCUCCUGAAGGAAAUGAGCCAGGGUGAGGAAAGGCUAUCUGCAUCCAUACACAUCAAAGUCAGCAGAGGGGCUUUCAUGUUUGCCUUAAACUCCUGUGCUCCCCCAAAAAGCCCUCAGCAAGGUCAAUGAGAAGAGCUUCCUGUCAUGCCUCAGAGCAUGUGGGAUGAAUCACUGCUGUCCAUUCCUGGCAGAAAGAGCACUUGAGUGUGUCUCCUGGGGGAAUUCCUUCCCUGAACCCCUUAUCUGGAACCCGCAGUCCUUCCAUGACCUGCUGCAGCCUGGCAAAUGCACCUGACAGGCUGCUAACAUGCCAGCUUGCCCUGCUUUGCUUUGCUUUGCUCUUCCUCAGGAUAUGCAAGGUCUUAAUAUUCAGUGCUUUUGCUGUGCUGGUCCUUGUUCACCAUGCUAGGCUGGCUUUUUAAGUAGAAUAAAAUACUUGUUUUAGCAUGUUUCAGGCUGAGGUUUUGGAGACAUUUGGACAGACAGAGCUUACAAGUGAGCUGUAAGCUAGUUUGAGACAAUGCUUAUGCUUAGCUGUACUGGAUGAUUUAGAGGCUUAUUUUAUGUCCCACAAAGCCUGAUGCACAGGCUAGGCUGGGAGCUGGUGACCCAGGUUUCAGUUAGCACCUCUCCCUCUGACAGUGGCUUGUCUACAGUGAAAGUAAGUCUAGAAAUCCUUGUAGUCAGUGGUGAAACACUGGAGCUUCUAGUCCUAACCUAAGACUAAACCAGGACAGAUUCUUUGUAUCCUAGAAGUGGCUCUUCUCCCCGUAAAUCAUAAAUGUACAUUAGUGACUAGAUUGGGAGAGAGAUCAGCAGGUGGCCCAAUUAAUCCCAUCUGCCUGCACUUGAGGUGGAAGAGGAAACACUUUUCGGACUGUUCGUAUACCCUAUUCUGAUGUUUUCUGCCUGCGAAUUCCCGUUCAGCUCUUUAUAUAAUACUAAAAGUGAGGAGGUGAUGAUGAACAUUGGUGAUGCCAUAUGAGAAAUAUUUAAAUGAAAGACUUCUCUGGAAGGCUAUAGGAGAGAAAAGCAGCCCUUAAACAGGAAUGUGCUAAUAAAAUUUGUCAAGAGACAGACACGUCAUCAACCAAACAUUAAGGAGGUGGGGAAAAAAGAUAGUGGGAACCCUGUGCAGCACCAUGUAGUCUCUUAGGGCCCAGUCACAAAAUGAAACACAAAAUCUUGUAAGAGACAACUGACAGAGCUGAGAUGGGAGCAAACUAGGACAGGAAUCUUAGGUUUUUCUAUGUGCUGUUUGCUUUUCACAGAGGCAGCAGUUGCUUUAGUUGAUUAAAAAAAAAAAAAAAAAGAACUCUGUCUAAAGCUUAAUUACACAUUAUCUCUGAUUCCAGGAAAUAAGAAGGUUUUCUAGUUAUUGGGAAGGCAAAGGAGGAACUUUACUGUUAACACAGGCACUUAAAGUUAGACUUACUUCUUUCUGUCAUGUCCUUAAAGGGUUGGAAGUAGAGGAUGGGAAACACCCUCAGCCAUGAACUGGGUUGUCCAUUACAGCCGUCUCUUUUAUUUUUCCUCUGUGCUUCAGGCUGUUUAUUCUCACUGGGAGCUUUCUGAGUGGCCAAAGGAGGAUGAGGGUAAUGUGAAGCUCCUUAUCUUACCCAAGAAUGGGGUUGGUUGCUUCUUCCUGUCCUGUUGGCAAGUUGCUCAUUGUGAAAACUAAGCUGGUUUGAGUUGAAAAAUAGAUCCAUUUCUUGUUUUAAAGGAUUCAUCGCUUGUCAGUCAAGUUUUGGUAUGUGUUUAAGAUUCUGAAAACUGUAACUGGGUAUGAAGGUUACUUUUUCAGGCAUACUUCACUAUUUAUUUAAAGUUGUUUUGAGGCAUUCCUGCCAGCAUUUGCUGAUGGUGAAAUAGUUGCAGAAAGAACUUUUUUACAAAUUUGAAAUGCUGUUCAUAUUUCUUGGGUGAAUUUGUGUUCCUCAUUUUGUGCCUGAUUCUCGCUCUUUAUGCAUGUCCCUCCUAGCACUUGAACAAUGUACUUUACUUGCACAGCCUUAAUCAAUCUAAUUAUCCUUAGGAAGGACUGAAGUUUCAGUUAUUUUGAGUGACAUGGCUAUUUAGGGGCCCUUCUUUUCAAGAAAGUUUAUCUGGAUUUGACUUUGUGCUCUGAGAAGUUUCAUUGUCCACAGAACAACUGAUAACAAUAGUUUUAGGAACUGCAUGAAGUCUUCACCCUGCUGAGUUUUAAUUGAAUGCAAAAUUACCCAAAGCUCAAUUUGCUCUUACAAAAAGUAUUUUGUAAUAUGUUUCAAGUGGGAUGUCCUGACUCCAGUUGCUGCAGCAGAUGUUUUGUGCAGAGAUGUGUUCUCUUUUAGUGUGCAUAAAACUGUCUAAUAUUCUGAAAAAAUUACUCUGCAAAAUGGAAAUCCCUAGUGCGGUGUUAUGGUAAUGACAGAAAUAUCUAUCGAGACAAUUUAAUGAUGCUUCAUGUUGCAUUGCAGUUUUUGUUAAUCUGUGGGGAAAAUCACUCCUGUUUUAUUUUUCUUCCUUAGUGGCGUAUUGAAACUGUUCAUUAGCACAGAGAAAUUUAGGUUGGAAGGGACCUCUGGUGGUCAUCUGGUCCAACCUCCUGCUCAAACCAUGUUCAACUAGAUCAGGUGUAUAUUUACUGAGGUGCGAGAUGUCUGCCCUGAGGCUGAUUUCUAACAGAACCUCCCAGCAGGCCUCGUCUAACUCUGAUUACACCUGGGAGUACGAGUACUAUGAGUACGGACCAGUGUCAUUUGAAGGCCUGAAGGCUCAUAAAUAUUCCAUUGUGAUUGGAUUUUGGGUUGGUCUUGCGGUUUUUGUCAUCUUCAUGUUUUUUGUCCUGACCCUGCUGACGAAGACAGGAGCACCACACCAAGACAAUGCAGAACCUUCUGAAAAAAGAUUUCGCAUGAAUAGCUUUGUAGCAGAUUUUGGAAGACCUCUGGAGUCGGAGAGGGUCUUUUCUCGUCAAAUAGCUGAAGAAUCCCAGUCACUUUUCCAUUUCUGUAUUAAUGAAGUGGAGCAUUUGGACAAAGCAAAACAAAGUCAGAAAGGUCCAGGUCUGGAAAAUAACGUCCACUUCCAGGAAGUUCCCAGGAACAGUGGAAUGUUUGAGGAGGACGUAAAUUGUCUUACAAAAUUUAACAUUCCUAACUUUGUGAACACUGAGCAGAACUCUUCACUAGGUGAGGAUGAUCUCCUCAUCUCAGAGCCACCAAUCAUUUUAGAAAGCAAAUCAGUCAUGCAAUCUUCCCAUCGGAUCCUUGACUGAAAAGUCUUUUACUUUAAGGUAAACAUUACUGUUAUUGUCCAGUUUGAAGCCUGUCUUGGCCUUCUAGUAUUUUGAUAGAAGGUAUUUCAGGUCUGUGCUUUUUAUUGUAUGUAAGACUGGCUGGGCUGACAGAAUUCAGUUUAAACAAGAAGUAAAACACUAAAUGCUUUAUUCUGAUGCCUUCUGUGGUCUAAACUUUUUGCCCAGCAUUAUUUUUGCUUCCUGAUUUUUUUUUCUUGUUUUCUUCUGUUUUUAAAUGACUGCUUAUGUCCAGCUUCUGAAGGAUACCAUAUUAAUUUGUGGGGACUAUGAAGGCUGGAGCCUGGCAUUGGGAGGUGUAUGAAAACUCCUUGGCCAAGAAAAGUGUAAACCUUAAAUUAAGACUGAAGCAAGGAAUAAACAGGCAGCCCCUUGGGAGGUUCUGCAGCUUUUGCCACUCCCAAAAAGGACACCUGAAUCUAAGCAGCACAAUGGAUAUCUGCUUGGUGUUAACUUCAGUUUCUGAUUUCUAACUGCUUUUUGGUGCAGGUGAAAUCCAACUUACAAAGCUUCCAGAGGGAAUACCUUGCAUAACUGUUUGGUUACAGUGUUUACAAAAUGCUACCACCACCUGCUGCUGAGUAAAAGCAAAUUGGUGCCUGUAAUUGUAGUACUUCAGAGUGACAUUCUGACAGCUGCCCAGUGGUGACCAUGACCUGGAAUUAGCGUUCUACACACAAACAGUAAUUUGACUUUAAUUGCUGAUGCAAACUUCCAGUUUGGUAAGUGCAGGAUUCAGUAGGUAAAUCACAGGAAAUCAGAUAAAAACUAUUCUUUGUUUGUCAAUAGAGUUACUAUAUGCAAACGGUGGUUGUCUGUUAAGCUGGUGUUAUGCUUUGCUUAUAGGCUGAACCUCCUGUGCUUUUUGGCUCUAUAAACAGCCCUUUCUUGCCAGUAGGCCAUGGAAGGGGUAGCAGGCUUUCCGUUGUUCAGAGGACCAGCUCCAAAAGCACAGCUGAGGUGCACUUGCUCCGUCUUCUUUUUGUACGCAGUUGGGAUGGUGUUGCAACCACAGCUGUUCUCCCAGGGAAAGGUUUGUUAAGGAAUUGAAUAGAUGUAAUUUCAACCUUUAAGUUUAUUUUUUAGAGAAGGAAUAAGGUUCUGGAACUUAGCCAGUACUUAAAUCAUGUUUCAGCUUUCUUCAAAAGAUUGUAACUAAUGGCCAAAUGGUUUUAGAUGCAGAGGAACCAGGUUCAAAUCCUCUGCUGGAUUUGGAGUAAGAGUGCUUUGCAGGAAGUUCUUAACUGAAAUGAAACUAGGGGAUUCAAGAUACUGUGCCUAACUGAGUUUUCUUGAAACUAGCCUGCUAGCUAUACAACAUGUUUGUGUCAGAGUGAAAAUGUAGCAAGGGCUUGCUGAUACAUUCUUCAGACACUUAAAUGCUGAUUAAUUCAUUCUUCCUUCACCUGACAAAUAGAGAAAUUAGUGAAUGUGUUGUGCAUUUAAAGAAUACAAAGACUGAGGGAAAUCUCUUUUGUUUUUAUCUCCUGUGACCUUACUAUAAACCACUUAUACCUAAAUUUCCUGUUUUCAAAUUUAAUUCUUGCACUACUUCCUAGUGUUUAAAGUAAUGGGAUUAUACUUAAAGCAAAGCAGAGACUGUUUAAAACUAGCAGAUUAUUGUUGAAAAUAGUUCCCAAGAGAAGAUUGAGGUGAACCCUGUUCAUGAGCAUAGCUGCAUGGGUUGCAAUGUUGGUCUUCAGUAUGCUGCUUCAGGUGCAGAAAAAAAGGCCUCCUUUUACAGUAAGUACUUAACCACAACUAUGAAGGCUGUAGCUGUGGACUUCCCUUUUCCCUUCCCAAAUUAAGAAAUCUGGGAAAUCUGCCUUCUGAAUGUGGCAACUGCUUCCUGCUAAGGCACCUCAAACAACUGUUAGCUAUCUGAUGGUUGAGCUUUUUCUGAACUGAAGGUCAGUAUUUUUCUUGCUAACAAGCUCUGGGACUUCUACUAAAGGUAGCUUUUAUAGCCUACUUCUGGAUGAGUUAGCUGCCUUCAGUGAUGUUUGAUCUAUUCUUUUUUUAUUUUUUUCCUUUGCCAUGCAUGAAAACAGAACAUGCUACUUAAAUGAGGAGAAAAUCUCUGUAGAAUCCAUCCCCCCUGCAAUUGAGAAAUAAAGCUUAUUUUUAAAGCAUUUGAAACUUAGUUUUAAAAUAAUGUAGGUCUGGUUUUAUAAAAAGAAAGGCUUGCUAUUCCCAGUGGGCUAACCUAAGCUUUUUCUUCUGCUACCUUGAAUCUUUGUGGCUUUUGUUUCGGUGCGUAACUGCUAAUUUGGGGAAAAAGGAGAAGUAUCCAUGUGUAUGGAUGCUGGUGACAACGCCUAGAUGAAAGGUAUUUAAUAACAUGAUCAAAGGAUAACUUAACUUAUAACACACUUGAAUUGUAAUCUUAGUGUCCUUCUGAAGCAUGUAUUAAUCCUGUAAAGGUAUUUCAGUGUUUUUGGUUCCUGCUUUUGUUCUUCCCUGAUGGUUCUGCUUUUUUCAUCUUAUCUCCCUUCUAUCUUUAAAUAAGUCCUUCAUGCUGUUUUUUACAGAAAAAUAAUCUGGCAGUCCCCACUGCACAGCUCCCACAUGACUUCAGAAGCACUGUAGCAGCAAUACAGUCUGAUUCAGACUUUUGCUCUGCCUCUCCUUUAGAGCAGAGGCAAAGGCAAAGGCAGAAUCUUUCUGCAGUCUUCAAAAGCAGUUAUGUUAAAGGUGUUCAUUCAUUCUUUUUCCUUUUUAAGAACAAAUAGACACGAUGUUCUGCCUUCAGGGAAAGGGGAUUGGUGUAAUAACCAACUUUGUAUAACAUUUAAAAAGUUCAUCUCUUCCCAGAAAACCAACAUGAAUUGGUUUACUAUGAAUUGAAUAGAAAGUGCUUUGACCAGGGUAAUCCUUCAAAAGGAGUACUCAGAAUUUAAUGGUGUUUGAAAAUCAAAUUAUUGCAAGUUUUCUUACUGCUUGGGCUGUCUGUUUCAGGGCCUUUUCUCAAAACUCACUCUAAAUGCAUCACCUGUGGUAGAUUUAACCUCAUGUAGAGUUCCCCUAAGAUAAUUACGUAUGUUUGUUUGCAUAAACAUGUAUUGUAUUCUGUAAGAACUUACUAGGUCAAGUUAUGUAUUCUGGUUUUCAAGGGUGAAUAUUUGUGAAAUUUUCUUCUGUGUAAACAAGUUUCAGUUGUGUACCUUUUUAAAAAAAAAAAAAAUCCCUGCUCAUAAAGAAAAGAAAGGGAAAGGUAAAACCAUGAACUUUUCUAAAAUCCAGUGAUACAUGGUCUCUGAGGCUAAAAGGUGAAGUAAAUGAUGUGUAUUUGUCAUGCAAUUUAGUAUUUUUGCACCUGAGCUGUAGCUCUUGAAUACUUGUUACUGACUUUUUUUGCCACUCUAAUUCAAAUUACAGCAAAGCAGCUGGAAUAUAAUAAACAAAUGAAUUCCAGCUAAACAUAAGUCAAUGACUCAAAGAAAUGAUGUUUAAGAUUCUUUUAAUCCAUCCAUUAUAACGCCUCCUGGAAAUGCAUAAUUAAAUAGUAUGGCAUAAGAAGAGGAAAAACAUACACCAGGAGUAUAUAAUUCUAUGACUCUGGAAGAUACCACUGAAAUCCUCAGUGGAAUACAAUAAAAGCUAAUGACCUCU